GUGGGAUGAAAACUUGAUCUGAAGUCUAAGUUGUUAACGGAUACGAUAUGGGAAGGUUGAGCUGCUGUUUAUCUGUUCCUAGAGAUGCUAGAAUUCUGGAGAAUUUUAUCUUUGAAAAUCUUUAAAAUGUUGCAUGAUGAGUUCCUGUAUGAUGAGAGUUUAAAUUCCUACCACAGCCAUAUAUACAUGCUUAUUAGACUUUGAGCCACACAUUUACUAUUUACUGCUUAUGAGCAUUGAGUGUGGUCAAGCUGUGUAGACCCUUAGGAGCUUGUCAUGUGGUUAAAUCAAGAUUUCACUUGCACGUCCACUCAUAUAUGCUACUUCUAUUCCGGAAGUACCAUCUACAUAUAUCCAUCCAUUUCUAUCUCCAGAACCACUCAAAAAUAUUCUACUCCUAAUCCGGGAGAGAAUAACCAAAAAUAUUUCUGUCUUUC
rnacentral:lncRNA from 1 species